UACGUAGGGUGCAAGCGUUAAUCGGAAUUACUGGGCGUAAAGCGUGCGCAGGCGGCUGUGCAAGACAAGAUGUGAAAUCCCCGGGCUUAACCUGGGAAUUGCAUUUGUGAACUGCACGGCUAGAGUGUGUCGAGAGGGGGGUAGAAUUCCACGUGUAGCAGUGAAAUGCGUAGAUAUGUGGAGGAAUACCGAUGGCGAAGGCAGCCCCCUGGGAUAACACUGACGCUCAUGCACGAAAGCGUGGGGAGCAAACAGG
rnacentral:rRNA from 1 species